rnacentral:rRNA from 1 species
CCUACGGGGGACAGCAGUAGGGAAUCUUCCACAAUGGGCGCAAGCCUGAUGGAGCAACACCGCGUGAGUGAAGAAGGAUUUCGGCUCGUAAAGCUCUGUUGUUGGAGAAGAACGUGCGUGAGAGUAACUGUUCACGCAGUGACGGUAUCCAACCAGAAAGUCACGGCUAACUACGUGCCAGCAGCCGCGGUAAUACGUAGGUGGCAAGCGUUAUCCGGAUUUAUUGGGCGUAAAGCGAGUGCAGGCGGUUGCUUAGGUCUGAUGUGAAAGCCUUCGGCUUAACCGAAGAAGUGCAUCGGAAACCGGGGAACUUGAGUGCAGAAGAGGACAGUGGAACUCCAUGUGUAGCGGUGGAAUGCGUAGAUAUAUGGAAGAACACCAGUGGCGAAGGCGGCUGUCUGGUCUGCAACUGACGCUGAGGCUCGAAAGCAUGGGUAGCGAACAGGAUUAGAUACCCGGGUAGUC